GGACGUAAUGACGGUACCCGCAGAAUAAGCUCCGGCUAACUUCGUGCCAGCAGCCGCGGUAAUACGAAGGGGGCUAGCGUUGUUCGGAAUCACUGGGCGUAAGGCGCACGCAGGCGGAUCGAUAAGUCAGGGGUGAAAUCCCGGAGCUCAACUUCGGAAUUGCCUUUGAUACUGUCUGUCUUGAGUCCGGGAGAGGUGAGUGGAAUUCCUAGUGUAGAGGUGAAAUUCGUAGAUAUUAGGAAGAACACCAGUGGCGAAGGCGGCUCACUGGCCCGGUACUGACGCUCAUGUGCGAAAGCGUGGGGAGCAAACAGGAUAGAUACCCUGGUAGUCCACGCCGUAAACGAUGGAUGCUAGCCGUCGGGGAGCUUGCUCUUCGGUGGCGCAGCUAACGUAUUAAGCAUCCCGCCUGGGGAGUACGGUCGCAAGAUUAAAACUCAAAGGAAUUGACGGGGGCCCGCACAAGCGGUGGAGCAUGUGGUUUAAUUCGAGGCAACGCGAAGAACCUUACCAGCGUUUGACAUGGUAGAACGGUUUCCAGAGAUGGAUUCUUUCCCUUACGG
rnacentral:rRNA from 1 species